UUAAUUAGCUAUAGAUUGUUUUCCCAAGAGAUUCAAUAGGCCUCUUGAAUUCUCAAGAAAACAACAAUGGAGGUGGUGUUUCUCGAAAUCAGAAUUUGACAGAAAAUAGAAAUAAGAUGAAGAAAAUUGAAGUGCAUAACCUCACAAUUUGAACAAACCUCAAUUUAAUUUAACCUUCAACUGAAAAUAAUUAUUUAGCCUCUAAGGACCAUAAUAAAAUUGCAAC
rnacentral:lncRNA from 1 species